ensembl:lncRNA
GCCAGGGGGAAAAGAGAGAGAGAGGUAAGUAGCCAGGGGGAAAAGACAGAGAGAGAGAGAAAGAGGUAAGUAGCCAGGGUGGGAAAGAGAGAGAGAGAGUUAAGUAGUCAGGGGGAAAACGAGAGAGAGAGAGAGAGAGAGCUAAGUAGCCAGGGGGAAUGACAGAGAGAGAGAGAGAGUUAAGUAGCCAGGGGUGAAGAGAGAGAGAGAGAGACACAGAGACAGAGAGAGGUAAGUAGUCAGCGGGAUAGGAGAGAGAGAGGGGUAAGUAGCCAGGGGGGGAAAAGAGAGAGUGAGAGAGGUAAGUAGCCAGGGGGAAAAAGAGAGAGAGAGAGAGAGAGGUAAGUAGCCAGGGGGAAAAGAGAGAGAGAGAGGUAAGUAGCCAGGGGGAAAAGACAGAGAGAGAGGUAAGUUGCCAGGGGGAAAAGACAGAGAGAGAGGUAAGUAGCCAGGGGGAAAAGACAGAGAGAGAGAGGUCAGUAGCCAGGGGGAAAGAGAGAGAGAGAGAGAGUUAAGUAGCCAGGGGGAAAAGAGAGAGAGAGAGAGUUAAGUAGACAGGGGGAAAAGACAGAGAGAGAGAGAGAAGUAAGUAGCCA